rnacentral:rRNA from 1 species
UACGGAGGGUGCAAGCGUUAUUCGGAUUUAUUGGGCGUAAAGAGCGUGUAGGCGGUUGGGUUAGUCAGAUGUGAAAUCCUUCUGCUCAACGGAAGAAGUUCGUCUGAAACUGCCCAACUUGAGUACGAGAGAGGAAAGUGGAAUUCCCAGUGUAGAGGUGAAAUUCGUAGAUAUUGGGAGGAACACCCGUGGCGAAGGCGACUUUCUGGAUCGAUACUGACGCUGAGACGCGAAAGCGUGGGGAGCAAACAGG